CGUCAACAUCGCCUGGGUCGAAAACGGCGUGCCCUUGCGCGGCGUGGUCUACGCCCCCGCGAAGGGACGGCUGUUCUACACCACCGCCGACGGC
rnacentral:tRNA from 1 species